UAAAUGUUCUUUGCCUCUCUAGUUUCCUAUUACUUGGCUUCUUCCUAGAAAAGGUUCCAAGAAUUUUUGAAGUACAACGUGAACAAGGGAGAUUUUAAUCGGUAAAGGGAGAUGGGCAGAUUUUGUCUUUCUCGGGAAAGCCAGCACCUAUAGCUCAACUCAAGACUCAGUGAGUGUCUUCACCUCCCUGAUCCAUUCCCAACAAGCAGUUCCGGUUUCUGAACCAGCAUAUGCAAACAAGGGCACUUACUGGCUUACUGGAAGGGAGGUGUCCGGGCUGGGCCUCCAGAUUUCGUCAGGUGCACUGUCUCCCAGGAGAGCUGGUGGCACCUGUCGAGCCAGCAGCCAAGGCCAGAAGACAAGCCCAGCAUUUCAAGGUCCACAGGGCCUUUGGCCUUUAUUGAGUUUUCAGUUGAAGCAGGACACAUUUAAGAAAUGCCAAGGAGGAAACAAUGUUGAUGUAUAGCUGCCAAGCCAAGGGAAGUGCAGUGAAAGAACAAUAUGAAAUAGAAAAGGUCAGCUACCUCGUCGUGCAAAGUGAUGAUGAGGCAGGACAGGCGCCGGGAGCACAGCCUCAGAUCUCAGGAGCCCUGGGUUUCCACCCCAGCUUCUGACCCCAACAGCUUCUACUUCCCUGAGAACAAGAUAAAGAUAGCACAGAGUCCGGGAUGAAUGAACGAAUGACCCCAAAUCAAGGUUUUUCUGGCCAUGGUUCUGUUCACGAUACUGGAAACACCAGUUUAUUGCAUGUGGACGCCUGGCCCUUGGACACCAAAUUCAAAAAAUCUUUGAAUGCCAAUGGUUGAGCACAGUUGAAGUUUGGAGAUUUGGGGUGAGAAGCUCAUGUCAGUACAAAGGCAAAUUGCUCUCUUCUCUCCUCCGGCCCACCUGCAAUUGUGCUGGCACCUGGGGCACGUGGGACACGUGCUUGAUCGAGGUUAGGUGAGUCCCUUUAGAAAACUUUGUUUUCAAUUUCCUCCCCAAAUUUUAAAGUAAAACCGAGAAUCAGACAAUCCACUUCCUACAAACCUGAACAGACAGGACUUCUGAAGACACUGAUUAGAAGCACUUCAGUUGACAAAUGUUUAUUCUCGUCCAUAGCUAUGUCCAGGGCAGCUCUCUUCUUGACUCCUUUAUCUGUUCCAGAGCAUAAGAGAAGUCAGACGUACACAACCUUUGAGUUGUAAAGUCACCUGGAAGGUGCAUCUAAAAGACCCCCUGCCCCACCAUAUGUAUUUCCAGGGUGUUAAAGAAUCUGUGUUCACUCCCUCAGCCACUGCCCCUGCAUCUGCACAGAGCAGCCCCCUAGAUAUCAAGGCAGAACUUCCUAAAAUGAAGUUGAGUAGCUCAGGCUGGGAUGGUCACCUUUGCUUUGGAGUCUAGAACCAAAUGAAAUAAGCUCCUUCCCACGUGCCAGGCUCUCUGCUAGGUUGCUUUCCUGCCCAUUCCUGCCUCUUCUAGUAAAAACAACAAUAACAAAGGAAGCUCCUGAAGAGGUUCAUGGUUUAUUCUAGGUCAUCCAGCAGAGUCAAGUGCUAACCCCCACCAGGCUCGAGUUCAGUGGUCAGUCCACUGUCUCUCAGCUCCCCAAGAGGCUACAGAUUGCUACAGAUACAGAUAAGUAUCUUUGGAUACCUACUGUGGCUCCUAAGGACUAUUAAAAAUGCUGUGAUUCUGCCCAGGCUGGUGUGGAUCAAUGGAAUGAAUGCCAGCCUGUGAACUGAGG